CGGACGGGUGAGUAACGCGUGAGAAUUCGCCUUUAGGAGGGGGAUAACAGGGGGAAACACUGCUAAAACCCCAUAUGCCUUCGGGUCAAAAGAGUAAUCUGCCUAAAGAGAAGCUCGCGGCUGAUUAGCUAGUUGGUGGGGUAAAGGCCUACCAAGGCGACGAUCAGUAGCUGGUCUGAGAGGACGAUCAGCCACACUGGAACUGAGACACGGUCCAGACUCCUACGGGAGGCAGCAGUGAGGAAUUUUCUGCAAUGGGCGAAAGCCUGACAGAGCAAUACCGCGUGAGGGAAGAAGGCUUACUGAGUUGUAAACCUCUGUUACCUAAGGAGGAAGAUCUGACGCUACUUAGGAGACGAAGCAUCGGCUAACUCCGUGCCAGCAGCCGCGGUAAGACGGAGGAUGCAAGUGUUAUCCGGAAUCACUGGGCGUAAAGCGUCUGCAGGUGGUUUCUUAAGUCCACUGUUAAACCUUGAGGCUCAACCUCAAUUCAGCAUUGGAAACUGGGAAACUUGAGUAUAGUAGGGGUAGAGGGAAUUUCCAGUGGAGCGGUGAAAUGCGUAGAUAUUGGAAAGAACACCGAUGGCGAAGGCACUCUACUGGGCUAUUACUGACACUCAGAGACGAAAGCUAGGGGAGCAAAAGGGAUUAGAUACCCCAGUAGUC
rnacentral:rRNA from 1 species